GCCCCAUCAGUCUGGUAGGUGGGAUUUAUUAUUUCAAAGGUGUUAGCUAAUCGAAUGAGCUUGGUGAUGGAUAAAAUCAUUUCCAAGCCCCAAAAUGCCUUUGUACGUGGCUGGCAAAUUUUAGACUCAGUUUGGGUUGCAAAUGAGUGUCUGGAUAGUCGGCUGAGGGCAUAUAUUCCAGGAGACCUUUGCAAGUUGGAUAUGGAAAAUGCUUAUGGUCAUGUGUGCUGGGAUUUUUUGAUAUAUAUGUUGAGGAGGUGCGGUUUUGGAGAUAUGUGGUGUGGUUGGGUGAAACAUUGUGUACCAUCCACUCAGUUUUCUGUUUUAGUUAACGGGCAACACUGUGAUUUCUUCUCGAGCUCGAGGGGCUUAAGACAAGGGGACCCGUUAUCUCCCUUUCUCUUUGUUGUAGUGAUUGAAGCCUUGAGUCGUAUGGUGGAGGCGGCAGUAAUGGGAGGUUUUAUUGCUGGUUUUUCGGUGGGCAACUCUACCUUUGGUGCUUUUUCCAUUUCUCAUUUAUUGUAUGCAAAUGACACUUUAAUCCUCUGUGAUGCUGACAGUGGACAAUAACAAGCUUUAAGGGCUGUUCUUUUGUGUUUUGAAGCUGUCUCGGGCCUUAAGGUGAAUUUGGGAAAGUUGGAAUUGGUCCCGGUGGGGGUGGUGGACAAUAUCAAUCAUCUAGCAAGUUUGUUGGGGUGCAAAGUGGCCUCUCUUCCUAUGUAAUACCUUGGCCUUCCUUUGGGGGCCUCUUUCAAAGCAAAAUACAUAUGGGAUUGCGGGGAGACUUACCCUCUUCAAAAGUAUCCUCUCCAAUCUUCCUACUUAUUUUCUAUCCUUGUUCCUUUUACCGGUGGGUGUGGCCAAUUGGAUUGAGAAAUUGUUUAGGGCUUUCUUGUGGGGUGGUAUGGGGGAAGAACAUAAAUUUCAUCUUGUGAGUUGGCUGAAGGUGUGUUGCCCGAAGGAGUCGGGAGGCUUGGGGGUGCGUAGCCUGUCCUUUUUUUAACAAAGCCCUCUUGGGGAAGUGGUUGUGGAGAUUUCAAUUGAAAGAUGAUUCAUUGUGGAGAUUGGUUAUUGUUUGAAAGUAUGGUUGUGAUUGGGGGGGUUGGUGUUCUAAGGAGGGAAGGGUACCUUUGGUGUAAGCCUUUGAAAAUUUAUCAAAAAGGGGUGGGAGGAGUUCGUAAAACACACUAGUUUUGAGGUGGGAGUGGGGACUAGAAUCAUUUUUUGGUUUGAUGUAUGGUGUGGCAAGAGUGCUCUAUUUACUGUUUUUCCAAGUGUUUUAAGAUUGGCUGAAAAUUAGCAGGCCGCUGUCUUAGAUCUAAUGUGCCGUGCCAUGGGGAGUGUUCUGUGGAAUUUGAUCUUAUCCAGAAACGCGCAAGACUGGGAAGUGGACGAAAUAGCAGGUUUUUACAAUCUUUUAUAUUCCAAGAAGUUAGGAGGAAACGAGAGGGAUAGAAUGUUGUGGAAACAUUCAGGGCGCAAAAAACUUUCUGUUAAGUCCU